GAUGAAGAACGUAGCGAAAUGCGAUAAGUAAUGUGAAUUGCAGAAUUCCGUGAAUCAUCGAAUCUUUGAACACACAUUGCGCCCCCUGGUAUUCCGGGGGGCAUGCCUGUCCGAGCGUCAUUGCAACCUUCAAGCGCGGCUUGUGUGUUGGGUCUCGUCCCCCGUGGACGGGCCCGAAAGGCAGUGGCGGCGUCCCGACAUGGUGCCCGAGCGUAUGGGAAUCCUCUUCCGCUCGAAUCGGCCCAUGCGGCGCUGGUCGUAACCAAAUUUUUUACCGGUUGACCUCGGAUCAGGUAGGGAUACCCGCUGAACUUAAGCAUAUCAAUAAGCGGAGGA
rnacentral:misc_RNA from 1 species